CACCGCGGUUAUACGAGAGGCCCAAGUUGACAGACAUCGGCGUAAAGAGUGGUUAAGUUGAAUUUGUACUAAAGCCGAACACCCUCAAGGCUGUUAUACGCACCCGAAGAUAAGAAGUUCAACCACGAAGGUGGCUUUAUUUAGUCUGAACCCACGAAAGCUGAGGCA
rnacentral:rRNA from 1 species